UACAGAGGAGACGAGCGUUGUUCGGAAUUACUGGGCUUAAAGAGCACGUAGGCGGCCCUGAAAGUGUCCCGUGAAAUCCUUCCGCUCAACGGAGGAACUGCGGGGCAAACUACAGGGCUUGAGGUCGGUAGGGGUGCCCGGAACUCUAGGUGGAGCGGUGAAAUGCGUAGAUAUCUAGAGGAACGCCGGCGGCGAAAGCGGGGCACUGGGCCGAAUCUGACGCUGAGGUGCGAAAGCGUGGGGAGCAAACAGG
rnacentral:rRNA from 1 species